rnacentral:rRNA from 1 species
GGGGGGACCACCCUCCAAGGCUAAAUACUCCCUCGUGACCGAUAGUGCACCAGUACCGUGAGGGAAAGGUGAAAAGUACGCCAGGUGGCGAGUGAAACAGACCCUGAAACCGUGUGCCGACAAGCGGUGGGAGGACGUCCGGCGGCUUCGGCCGCCGCGUGUCUGACCGCGUGCCUUUUGCAUUAUGAUCCGGCGAGUCAGUCCUCAGAUGCAUGGUUAAGGUCCUCAGGACCGGAGCCACAGCGAAAGCGAGUCUGAAAUGGGCGUUGGUAUCUGGGGCUGGACCCGAAGCCGAGGCGAUCUACCUAUGGCCAGGUUGAAGCGUGCGUAACAGCGCGUGGAGGACCGAACCGUUGUGGGUUGAAAACCGCUCGGAUGAGCUGUGGGUAGGGGUGAAAGGCCAAUCAAGCUCGGAGAUAGCUGGUUCUCCCCGAAAUCUAUUUUGGUAGGGCCUCCGGAAAUGAGCGCACGGGAGGUAGAGCACUGGAUGGGUCCGGGAACCGACGAGGUUUACCACCCCCAACCAAACUCCGAAUGCCUGUGCGUGCUGCCGGGGAGGCAGUCGUAGGGCGAUAAUGUCCUAUGGCGAGAGGGAAAGAACCCAGACCCUCUGCUAAGGCCCCAGAGUGACGGCUAAGUGUAGCGAAGGAUGUGGUCAUGCUUAGACAGCUGGGAGGUUGGCUUAGAAGCAGCCAUUCCUUUAAAGAGUGCGUAACAGCUCACCAGUCAAGCGUGGCCGCGCCGAGAAUGGUCGGGACUAUGAAGCCGUCCGCCGAAGCAAGGGCUUGGACCGCGGUUCGCCGCGGCCCAGGGGUAGGGGAGCGUUCCCGGAGCUGCGAAGCGCGGGCGGAAGCUUACGCGUGGAGCGACGGGAAGUGAGGAUGCCGGAACGAGUACGCGCGAAGCGGGGCGAGAACCCCCGCCAUCGAAAACCUAAGGGUUCCUGAGCCAUGGCGAUCAGCUCAGGGUUAGUCGGUCCCUAAGCCGAGGCCGAGAGGCGUAGGCGAUGGGAAACGGGUCAAUAUUCCCGUACCACGUCGUGGCCGUUCGAUCCCAAGGGGGGACGCAGGAGCAAGCUUGCCGUCGGAGGGUGGUUGUGCCGAUGUAAGGUGGUAGGCGUUCCCGGGUAGGCAAAUCCGCCCGGGUAGCCGAGCGCCGAUGCCAAAGGGUCCUUCGGGACCCGCAAAGGGCAGGUGACGCACACUGCCGAGAAAAGCCCCGUGGGUAGGACACGACGCGACCGUACCGCAAUCCGACACAGGUAGGUGAGGCGAGAAGCCUAAGAUGCUCGAGUGAUUUACGGUCAAGGAACUCGGCAAAAUUACCCCGUAACUUCGGGAGAAGGGGUGGCGGUAGUAGGUGAAGGCGAUGCAGCCCGAGCCCAAUCCGCUCGCAGAGAAUCGCGUCAAGCGACUGUUUAGCAAAAACACAGGUGCCUGCCAACGCGUGAUCCAAGCAGACGUAUAGGCACUGACGCCUGCCCGGUGCCGGAAGGUUAAGGUGAGCGGUCAGCCGCAAGGCGAAGCUGCGAGCCGAAGCCCCGGUAAACGGCGGCCGUAACUAUAACGGUCCUAAGGUAGCGAAAUUCCUUGUCG